rnacentral:piRNA from 1 species
UUAGUGUCCUCAAUAACCGGAACCCUAGGAU